rnacentral:rRNA from 1 species
UACAGAGGGUGCGAACGUUGUUCGGAAUUACUGGGCAUAAAGCGCACGUAGGCGGUUCUGUAAGUGCGGAGUGAAAUCCCACGGCUCACCCGUGGAACAGCUUCGCAUACUGCAGGACUCGAGGACGGUAGGGGAGAGCGGAACUCCUGGUGGAGCGGUGAAAUGCGUAGAUAUCAGGAGGAACACCGGCGGCGAAGGCGGCUCUCUGGUCCGUUACUGACGCUGAGGUGCGAAAGCCAGGGGAGCAAACGGG